CGGGGGGAGCAAGCGUUGUUCGGAUUUACUGGGCGUAAAGGGCGCGUAGGCGGCCACCGCAAGUCGACUGUGAAAUCUCCGGGCUUAACCCGGAAAGGUCAGCCGAUACUGCGGGGCUAGAGUGCAGAAGGGGCAACUGGAAUUCUCGGUGUAGCGGUGAAAUGCGUAGAUAUCGAGAGGAACACCUGCGGCGAAGGCGGGUUGCUGGGCUGACACUGACGCUGAUGCGCGAAAGCUAGGGGAGCGAACGGGACUAGAUACCCCGGUAGUCCUAGCCUUAAACGAUGAAUGCUUGGUGCCUGGGGUUUUAUAGUCCCCGGGUGCCGUCGCUAACGCUUUAAGCAUUCCGCCUGGGGAGUACGGUCGCAAGACUG
rnacentral:rRNA from 1 species